rnacentral:rRNA from 1 species
UCGACGGAGCGCCUAUGAAGGAGAUUUCGGUCAACGGAAUAGGUUGCUUAGUGGCGGACGGGUGAGUAACGCGUGAGGAACCUGCCUUUCAGAGGGGGACAACAGUUGGAAACGACUGCUAAUACCGCAUAACACAUAGGUGUCGCAUGGCAUUUAUGUCAAAGAUUUAUCGCUGAAAGAUGGCCUCGCGUCUGAUUAGCUAGUUGGUGAGGUAACGGCUCACCAAGGCGACGAUCAGUAGCCGGACUGAGAGGUUGGCCGGCCACAUUGGGACUGAGAUACGGCCCAGACUCCUACGGGAGGCAGCAGUGGGGAAUAUUGGGCAAUGGGCGCAAGCCUGACCCAGCAACGCCGCGUGAAGGAAGAAGGCUUUCGGGUUGUAAACUUCUUUUGGCAGGGAAGAGUAGAAGACGGUACCUGUCGAAUAAGCCACGGCUAACUACGUGCCAGCAGCCGCGGUAAUACGUAGGUGGCAAGCGUUGUCCGGAUUUACUGGGUGUAAAGGGCGUGUAGCCGGGUUGACAAGUCAGAUGUGAAAUCCUGCGGCUUAACCGCAGAACUGCAUUUGAAACUGUUGAUCUUGAGUACUGGAGAGGCAGACGGAAUUCCUAGUGUAGCGGUGAAAUGCGUAGAUAUUAGGAGGAACACCAGUGGCGAAGGCGGUCUGCUGGACAGCAACUGACGGUGAGGCGCGAAAGCGUGGGGAGCAAACAGGAUUAGAUACCCUGGUAGUCCACGCUGUAAACGAUGGAUACUAGGUGUGCGGGGACUGACCCCCUGCGUGCCGCAGCUAACGCAAUGAGUAUCCCACCUGGGGAGUACGAUCGCAAGGUUGAAACUCAAAGGAAUUGACGGGGGCCCGCACAAGCGGUGGAUUAUGUGGUUUAAUUCGAUGCAACGCGAAAGAACCUUACCAGGNCUUGACAUCCUACUAACG